rnacentral:rRNA from 1 species
GACGAACGCUGGCGGCGUGCUUAACACAUGCAAGUCGAACGAAAAGAGGGAAAGAGCUUGCUCUUUCCGGAAUUGAGUGGCAAACGGGUGAGUAACACGUAAACAACCUGCCUUCAGGAUGGGGACAACAGACGGAAACGACUGCUAAUACCGAAUAAGUUCCAAGGGCCGCAUGGCCCAUGGAAGAAAAGGUGGCCUCUACCUGUAAGCUAUCGCCUGAAGAGGGGUUUGCGUCUGAUUAGCUGGUUGGAGGGGUAACGGCCCACCAAGGCGACGAUCAGUAGCCGGUCUGAGAGGAUGGACGGCCCACCUGGAAUUGGGACACGGUCCAGACUCCUAAGGGAGGCAGCAGGGGGGAAUCUUCCGAAAUGGGCGAAAGCCUGACGGAGCAACGCCGCGUGGGGGAUGACGGCCUUCGGGUUGUAAAACUCUGUGAUCCGGGACGAAAAGGCAGAGUGCGAAGAACAAACUGCAUUGACGGUACCGGAAAAGCAAGCCACGGCUAACUACGUG